rnacentral:rRNA from 1 species
AUUGCCCCAGUAACGGCGAGUGAAGCGGCAACAGCUCAAAUUUGAAAUCUGCCCCCCCGGGUCCGUGUUGUAAUUUGCAGAGGAUGCUUCGGGCGAGGUGCCUUCCGAGUUCCCUGGAACGGGACGCCACAGAGGGUGAGAGCCCCGUCUGGUCGGACACCGAGCCCGUGUGAAGCUCCUUCGAAGAGUCGAGUAGUUUGGGAAUGCUGCUCAAAAUGGGAGGUAUAUGUCUUCUAAAGCUAAAUAUUGGCCAGAGACCGAUAGCGCACAAGUAGAGUGAUCGAAAGAUGAAAAGCACUUUGAAAAGAGGGUUAAAAAGUACGUGAAAUUGUUGAAAGGGAAGCGCCCAUGACCAGACUUGGGCCCGGUGAAUCACCCGGCGUUCUCGCCGGUGCACUUUGCCGGGCACAGGCCAGCAUCAGUUUGGCGCGGGGGACAAAGGCUUCGGGAACGUGGCUCCCUCGGGAGUGUUAUAGCCCGCUGCGUAAUACCCUGCGCCGGACUGAGGUACGCGCAUCGCAAGGAUGCUGGCGUAAUGGUCAUCAGCGACCCGUCUUGAAACACGGACCAAGGAGUCGUCUUCGUAUGCGAGUGUUCGGGUGUCAAACCCCUACGCGGAAUGAAAGUGAACGCAGGUGAGAGCUUCGGCGCAUCAUCGACCGAUCCUGAUGUUCUCGGAUGGAUUUGAGUAAGAGCAUACGGGGCCGGACCCGAAAGAAGGUGAACUAUGCCUGUAUAGGGUGAAGCCAGAGGAAACUCUGGUGGAAGCUCGCAGCGGUUCUGACGUGCGAAUCGAUCGUC